GACGAACGCUGGCGGCGUGCUUAACACAUGCAAGUCGAACGAAGAGCGAUGGAAGCUUGCUUCUAUCAAUCUUAGUGGCGAACGGGUGAGUAACGCGUAAUCAACCUGCCCUUCAGAGGGGGACAACAGUUGGAAACGACUGCUAAUACCGCAUACGAUCUAAUCUCGGCAUCGAGGAUAGAUGAAAGGUGGCCUCUACAUGUAAGCUAUCGCUGAAGGAGGGGAUUGCGUCUGAUUAGCUAGUUGGAGGGGUAACGGCCCACCAAGGCGAUGAUCAGUAGCCGGUCUGAGAGGAUGAACGGCCACAUUGGGACUGAGACACGGCCCAGACUCCUACGGGAGGCAGCAGUGGGGAAUCUUCCGCAAUGGACGAAAGUCUGACGGAGCAACGCCGCGUGAGUGAUGACGGCCUUCGGGUUGUAAAGCUCUGUUAAUCGGGACGAAAGGCCUUCUUGCGAAUAGUGAGAAGGAUUGACGGUACCGGAAGAGAAAGCCACGGCUAACUACGUG
rnacentral:rRNA from 1 species